rnacentral:rRNA from 1 species
UGCGUAGGCGGUCGGCUAAGUCUGAUGUGAAAUCUCCGGGCUCAACCCGGAAACUGCAUCGGAUACUAGUCGGCUAGAGGAUUGGAGGGGGGACUGGAAUUCUCGGUGUAGCAGUGAAAUGCGUAGAUAUCGAGAGGAACACCAGUGGCGAAGGCGAGUCCCUGGACAAUUCCUGACGCUGAGGCAUGAAAGCUAGGGGAGCAAACA